CGUCGUCUAUAGCACGGCGCGGGAUUUCACUCGCCUUCGUUAUAUUCGCACACGAAAGACAAAACGGGCAAUGGACAAGCACGCAGCACGCGCCAAAGGAAAAUAGCGGCACAGCAAGGAAGUGGAGAGAGGGGAGGGGUGGCAAUUUGUUUCUCUGUGGGGUGGCCAUGUGAAAGAUGAAAGUUUCACGCUGCCAGCGCCGUUCCAGCGUCUCGCCGCUUGGCUUCGUGACGCAACACUUUUCCCCUUCCUGUCUCGGUCAUGAACGCCGACGUGCCCGCUAAACGAAACCGACGGCGGCCCAAGCAUAGAGAAAGAAAUACAACAAGAGCGGACACUGCGAAAACUGGCAACAGGAAAUACGUCACGCUAGUAUUCAUACCGUCCGUUAGCUGACGCGAGCAUCGGAAAAAAAAAUAAUGUGAAAUGGAGUUAACAAUGUUUUAUUUUUUAUUCUUUCCCGCUAACUAAAAAAGAACUUAUACUUUUCGACAUAUUUUUCUUGCGUCACCUAGAAGAAAGCCAAUGACGCGCCAGACACGCCACCGAAGCGAGCGAGACCGGCUGCGAAUGUGAGCGUGCGCCUGUUCGGCGACCCGUCUGCCAGUCUUCUUUGUUUUUUUUUUUUUGGGGGGGGGGGAGGCGGUUGCAGCCUCGUUUCUUGGGCUCCCGGCAUACUCUUGCGUAACUUCUGCACUUCGACACAGCACUAUUACGCUAUUGCACUACGGCAAGCUGAUGAUGAGAAGUUCGGAGUUGAAAGACGAGCUCUGGGCCGUCCGGCAAGUCGAAGAUGCCGCCCGAGUCGAAGGACUUGGAGCCGCCACCUGAGGCCACCGCAAAAAAACUGCCAGACCAUUCUUUUUAAUAAAGUUUUUCAGCUGAUGCCA